rnacentral:lncRNA from 1 species
CAUGUUCCAUUUCCUUCUCCACGUUCAGGAUUACCAGUCUCUAAACCUGAUGUCAUCUCCCAGCUCGAGCUGGGAGGAGGGUCAUGGGUGCUGAAUGAUACUGGACUUAAGGAAAAAGAUCUUUAGAGGUGUGUCCAGAGAUUCUUUAUUUUGUUUCUUUUCAUAGAGAAGAUUUCUGUCUAUUCAAGAGCCAUGAUUUCAUGGGAAAGAGGGUUUUAAGAAAAAAAUCUGAUGAUAAGGAUUUUUUUACUCUGCUUUCUAAAGAAGUAAAAUUGCAUGGAAGGGUAUCAGAAGAACUCCUAAGAGAUGUUAACCAGGUCAGGGAGUUAGGAGAAGCCUAUGAACUUAGCUAUUUAGAGAGAAAGAAAAGAAAUACCAAAGGAGAGAAAUGUCUUCAGUCUGCUUCCCUGAAGAGAGAUUCCCAGCAUGUCAUAGUGUUCUACAGGAAAACAGUUAGACAGGAGAAAGGCAAAAAAUAUAAUGAACUUGGAAAAACCUUUGGUUACAGCUCAAACUUGUUAUACAUCAGAGACAUCCUACAAAAGAAAGAGUCCAUAAAGGUAAUACUCAUGGCCAAAGUUUGCCCAAAGUUCUGUCCCCAUGCACUAUAAGAAAAUUCAUAGUAGAGAGAAAUAUUUUAAAUGUGGUGAAUGUGGGAGAGCCUUCACUUAUAUGGCAGCUUUUAUACAACAUCAGAGUGUUCACAUUGGAGAGAAACCUUAUAAGUGUAAUGAAUGUAGUAAGGCCUUUAGUCUACAUUCAGUCCUUAUUUGACACCAGAGAACUCAUACUGGAGAGAAACCAUUUGAAUGUAGUGAAUGUGGGAAAGCUUUCAAUAGAAGUUCAGUCCUUCAUGAACAUCGAAGAAUUCACUCUGGAGAGAAACCCUAUGAAUGCAAUGAGUGUGGUAAAGCAUUAAGUUGAAGCUCUACCCUUAUUCAACAUCGGAGAAUUUACACUGGAGAAAAACCUUAAAACUGUAAAGAAUGUGAGAAAGCUUUUAGUACCCGGUCAGGUCUUCAUGAACAUCAGAGAAUUCACAGUAGGGAAAAGCCAUAUGAAUGUAAUGAAU